UUCAGCCCUCAAAUAUUGAUUUUGAACAUUAUUUUGCAAAGAGUACUAAGUGGUUGGUUAGUUGAGAUAGAGGAAUAUGCAGCUUUUGACUAUCUUUCCUUUCCCGUCAGUACCAGCUUUCAUGAUACAAUUUCCUCUUAUCACUUUGGUCAAGAGGUGGGGCAGAAAAUUUUGAGUUACAGUAUCAUUCGAAGAGAAUUUAUUUCUGCCUUUCAUGUUAUAGCCCCUAAGGGAUCCAGGACCCGAAAGGCCAGCUUCUCCCUCAUUUUGAAAUCAGUUUUCUCCACCUGCACCACUGCAUAGCACAGAUACAGAAACCAUCCUAUUUCAGGAUUUGAAUGCAAAACUUACCUUCUUACUCUAAAGAUGAAUGAUCAGGGAGAGAUUUAUUCAACCCUGAGAUUUUUGCAGUCUCCUUCAGAGUCACAGAAUAGAUUAAGGCCUGAUGAUACUCAAAGGCCUGGGAAAACUGAUGACAAAGGCAAAUUCUCUGAAGACCACGGGUCCUGUUGUGGAGUAAACUGUUAUUAUUUUACCAUGCAGAAGAAAGACUGGAAGGGAUGUAAACAGACUUGUCAACAUUGUAGAUCAUCCCUUUUGAAGAUAGAUGACAAAGAUGAACUCGUAUUUUACAUUCACUUUUAUUCUCUUGGACUCUGUUUCUCAAUGUUGGACCUAAGAUAUUGAAGACAGGCUGGAGCCCAGAGCCUUCAUUCAAUCUCAGAUUUAUGAAAAUAAUUACUGGAUUGGAUUAUCAUAUGAUGAAAGGGAAAGUAAGUGGAAAUGGAUUGAUAAUGGCACAUCUCCUGGAAUUAAUUCUACAAUAAUGCGUUUUUCUUCUGGGAGAGGAGAAUGUGCAUUUUUGACCUCAACAAGAAUGGCAACUAUUGAUUGCAUUCAAACGUACAAUUGUAUCUGUGGGAAGAGAAUAGACUCUAUUUUCUCUGAUUCGGUGUGCGCCAAGAAGAAAAGGUGAAAAUGGAAUGUUUUCUUUUUUUGUUUCCCAUAAUAAUUUCUGAUUAUAAAUCAUUGCUUUUAACUGUGGGACUUAGUUAAUUCUUCAAAAGAUAAAGAUGAACAGGAAGAAAAAGAAAAUUAUUUUGGACUAUGACUUUAAAGAUCAGAUGCCAUCUUUCUUCCUGGAGAAGAGGAGAUUUUCUCUUUUGAGAGUGGUUGUUCCUUCCUUUAAUGUCCCUGAGGAAUUAUUCAUUCUUUCUAAUUCUCAGAACUACCUAUACAACCAGUUAGAGAACUCUGAUAUUAUAUCCUGGGUCUUUUUUCUUAUCAAUAGGAUAAAUCAUUCCAGCAUCUUCUGGUUUUGAAAGCAGUUGUGAACUAGAAUGUAGUUAUUUUUUUCUUCCCAUCUAGAAGUUACCUCAUCUUUUAAAACAUUUGUUUUGCUACAAAAUAUAACUUCAAACUUACUGAAAGUUGCAAGCAUAGUACAAGGAACUUCUAUAUAACCUUUACUCAUACUUACUAGUUGUUUAUAUUUUGCUCUGCUUUAUAUUUCUCUCUUUCUAUCUUCCACUUAAUAAUAAAUUGAGGACUUCAUGUCCCUUUGUCUAAAUAUUUUCCAAGAUCAAGGGCUUUGUUUUAUAUAAUCACAGUGCAAUUAUCAAACUCAGGAAAUUUAGCAUUAGUACAGUACUAUGAUCUAAUCUGUAAUCCAUGUUCAAAUUUUGUCAAUUGUCCCAAUAAUGCCAUUUAUGUGUAUUUCUUAAAAAUCCAUGUUCAGGAUAAUUCAAUGCAUUUGAUUGUAAUGUCUCUUUAGUCUUCUUUAAUCUGAAACAGUUCUUUAGGCUUUUUCUUGACCUUGACAUUUUAAAAAUUAACUUUAUUGAGUUAUACUUUUCAUGCAAUAAAAUGCACUCACUUUA
rnacentral:lncRNA from 1 species